CAUUUUUAGGAUAAUUGGAAUUUGUAAUCGUGUUAAAAAUGUGUACAAGUCAAGAUUGGAAAUCUGACAAUAUCCAUGGAUGAAAGCACUACUGGCGUCCCUAAUGUAAUACAAGAAAACAAAAUAUUCAUGACAAGCAGAACAAACAAUUUGGAAGUUUAAAUCGAUACAAAAUUUCAACUAUGACCUAACUUCAUAUAGUCCAGCUCGUGUCAAAGCUCGGAACCCUUUAUAAAGACGAUUAGGUACAACCUUCAGAUCCAGUUUAUCAAUUUGCAGGCCUGAGAGGGCAACACCUUGAAUCCUAAAACCCACUUGAAAUAUGGGGAAUACAUGAAGGCGCUCUAAUCCUGUCUCAACCGCCAAUGUUCCAGACAAUGAUGGAGUUCUAUCUUUUGGUAUUCGGUCAAUUGACCAAGAGCAAAUCUUAUUAGAUAGGAUAUUCACUACUCCAUGAUUUGAAGUCAGAUCAGCUGAUAAAAUAGGAGGAGGCAGUUGAAACUGCAGAGUUAUUGAGUCAAUCAUCUUCCCAGGGUCAUUUUUAAUUCCAACCAUCAG
rnacentral:misc_RNA from 1 species